rnacentral:rRNA from 1 species
CCAGCAGCUGCGGUAAUACGGAGGAUCCAAGCGUUAUCCGGAAUCAUUGGGUUUAAAGGGUCCGUAGGCGGUCUUAUAAGUCAGUGGUGAAAUCUCCCCGCUCAACGGGGAAACGGCCAUUGAUACUGUAGGACUUGAAUUAUUAGGAAGUAACUAGAAUAUGUAGUGUAGCGGUGAAAUGCUUAGAGAUUACAUGGAAUACCAAUUGCGAAGGCAGGUUACUACUAAUGGAUUGACGCUGAUGGACGAAAGCGUGGGUAGCGAACAGGAUUAGAUACCCUGGUAGUCCACGCCGUAAACGAUGGAUACUAGCUGUUGGGUGCAAACUCAGUGGCUAAGCGAAAGUGAUAAGUAUCCCACCUGGGGAGUACGUUCGCAAGAAUGAAACUCAAAGGAAUUGACGGGGGCCCGCACAAGCGGUGGAGCAUGUGGUUUAAUUCGAUGAUACGCGAGGAACCUUACCAAGGCUUAAAUGUAGAUUGACCGUUUUGGAAACAGAACUUUCGCAAGACAAUUUACAAGGUGAUGCAUGGCCGUCG